rnacentral:rRNA from 1 species
GAUUGAACGCUGGCGGCAUGCCUUACACAUGCAAGUCGAACGGCAGCACGGGAGCAAUCCUGGUGGCGAGUGGCGAACGGGUGAGUAAUACAUCGGAACGUGCCCAGUAGUGGGGGAUAACCCGGCGAAAGCCGGACUAAUACCGCAUACGACCUACGGGUGAAAGCGGGGGAUCGCAAGACCUCGCGUUAUUGGAGCGGCCGAUGGCAGAUUAGCUAGUUGGUGGGGUAAAAGCCACCAAGGCGACGAUCUGUAGCUGGUCUGAGAGGACGACCAGCCACACUGGGACUGAGACACGGCCCAGACUCCUACGGGAGGCAGCAGUGGGGAAUUUUUGG